UGGUUUUAUAAGUCUUAUUUCAAAGACUCCGGCUCAACCGGAGGCAGGGGUAGGAUACUGUAAGACUAGAGUGAUAUCGGGGUUACUGGAAUUUUUAGUGUAGGGGUAAAAUCCGUGGAUACUAAAAAGAACACCAAGCGCGAAGGCGGGUAACCAGGUAUUUACUGACACUCAGAGACGAAAGCUAGGGUAGCCAAUCAGAUUAGAGACCUGAGUAGUCCUAGCCGUAAACUAUGUAUGUUAAUUCUCUGCAAUUUAUUGUGGGGGAUGUAAGCUAACGCGUUAAACAUACCGCCUGGGGAGUAUAGCCGCAAGGCCGAAACUCAAACGAAUUGGCGGGGAGGCGCACAACCAGUGGAGCAUGUGGUUCAAUCCGAUACAAAGCGAUGAACCUUACCUGGGUUUGACAUUUAUCUGCAAACCCCCAGAAACGGGGGAAUCCUUAGAGGGUGAUAAACAGCUGUUGCAUGGCUGUCGUCAGCUCGUGACGUGAGUUGUUCUCUUAAGUGAGGUAACGAGCGCAACCCCCAUCCGGUGUUAUUGUGUCACCGGAGACUGCCUAGCAUUAUUUUGUUAGGAGGAAGGAGGGGACGGCGUCAAGUCAGCAUGAUGCUUAUGUCCAGGGCUACACACAUCCUACAAUGGGGAGGACAAUGGGUCGCGAAACCGCGAGGUGGAGCCAAUCCCACAAACCUUUCCUCAGUUGGGAUUGCAGGCUGAAACUCGCCUGCAUGAA
rnacentral:rRNA from 1 species